AACACACUACACCAGCAGCAUGGGGCAUCCUCUCGACUCAUAUACAGACUGACAUUAGUGACGGGGCAUGUUUCUCGUGACUCAGACCGUCUGCAGGCGCUGUGAAGGGCUCUAUCAUCACUGUGGCCAGCACAGGGGGCAAGGUUGGGAAUAUGGGGCAGGUGAGUUACUCUGCUUCUAAAGCUGGAGUGGAACCGCUGCCUAAGAGCUGAGCUAGUGUAUUUGGCAUUCGCUGCAACUGUGUCCCGCCCGGGUUCAUCACUACACCCAUGACUGAUAAACUCACAGCCAUCAUUCCACUGGGAAGGAUGGGAGAGCCUGCUGAAGUAGCUGAUGCAUGUGCAUUUCUGGCUUCUGAUGACAGUGGAUAUAUUACUGGAGUCAGUGUUGAAGUUGCUGGUGGACUCUUCACUGGCUGAAAACUGUUGAAUAACACUAAACUGAUCACCGGCUCUGUGCCUUCAUCUUCGUGAAAUUGUCCUUGUGUAGUUUAAUUGCUGUAAAACUUGUUUACAAUGUAGCAAAUGGAAAUUGAAAUUCUAUAUUUAUACAAUUAAAGUUUGAAAAUUUUAUACUAAAACCCACUUUUAAAAAACAAUUAAGUGGACACAGGAGGAAAUGUGUUGAUGUGUGGUUUAAUGGGAACGUUUGGACCAAAACAACAUCAAGUCAAAGGAUUAAAACAGUUAACAUUUCAAAACGCAGACUAAUAGAGUGAAGCAUUUAAAAGGGUUUUAAGAGUCGUUUGAAGGAAAGUGGCCAGAUUACAUAUUGUGGUUUUUCUGAGGCACGAGAGGCUUGUUAAUUUGUUGAAAAGUGAAAAUGGGAGUUUGGAUAAGAAGAGUGAAGAUGCAGAUGAAAUAUGAGCAAAAGCACCAUGACAACAGGAAACAAACAGGAAAAGAACAACAAAGGAGUCCAACAGCUCUUUAAAUAGAUUAUAUAUUACACAAACAGAUUCUGAAGUACUUACAUAGAACACGUUUUAGCACCAUAUUUUAUAAGACAGAUGUUUGUCUUUCACCGACAAAAACAAUCCUCGCAGUAUUGUCCUUGAGAGUAAACCACACAAACAACUUUUAAUUCACAAAUACUUUUUAUAGCUUUUCAUUCCCCUCGCCAUGUUUUAAAAAAGAAACAAAAAAUAUACAUAAAAAAAACAAACCACCAUCAGUUUCCUUCCCUCUCCUUCCUCUUCCUGUCCCUUCUCCACUGCUGUCUGAAUCUCGAGACAUUUCGGUCGUUUCGGUCUCCACCUGCACCAAACUCUCCUAAACCUCAAGCUGUGACGUAAACGCACUGAAAUAAUGCAGCAAGAGCUGAUAUCACCAAGUGUACACAUAUAUAUAUAUAUAUAUCAUACAGAGAAGGCAGAUUUGCUUUCUGGGGUUUAAUUUACAUAUUUAAUAGAUGAAAAAACUACAGAUGAAUACCACAUUAUUUUGGACUGCAAGUGUUGGACAUUUUCUUGUGAGCACCUGUUUGUUUCACAAAAUAAAUACAAUAAAAUAUUUCUGUACAAAUGGUUCGCAUGCACAAUUCCAGCCUGAACACUGUCCACACAAAAGGUCAAAGGUCACAAACCCAUGGGUUUGCGGCGGG